rnacentral:rRNA from 1 species
GUGAGUAACGCGUGAGAAUCUAGCUUCAGGUCGGGGACAACCACUGGAAACGGUGGCUAAUACCGGAUGUGCCGGAAGGUGAAAGAUUUAUUGCCUAGAGAUGAGCUCGCGUCUGAUUAGCUAGUAGGUGUGGUAAGAGCGCACCUAGGCGACGAUCAGUAGCUGGUCUGAGAGGAUGAUCAGCCACACUGGGACUGAGACACGGCCCAGACUCCUACGGGAGGCAGCAGUGGGGAAUUUUCCGCAAUGGGCGAAAGCCUGACGGAGCAAUACCGCGUGAGGGAGGAAGGCUCUUGGGUUGUAAACCUCUUUUCUCAAGGAAGAAAAAAAUGACGGUACUUGAGGAAUAAGCAUCGGCUAACUCCGUGCCAGCAGCCGCGGUAAUACGGAGGAUGCAAGCGUUAUCCGGAAUGAUUGGGCGUAAAGCGUCCGCAGGUGGCAAUGUAAGUCUGCUGUUAAAGAGUGAGGCUCAACCUCAUAAGAGCAGUGGAAACUACAUAGCUAGAGUGCGUUCGGGGCAGAGGGAAUUCCUGGUGUAGCGGUGAAAUGCGUAGAGAUCAGGAAGAACACCGGUGGCGAAAGCGCUCUGCUAGGCCGCAACUGACACUGAGGGACGAAAGCUAGGGGAGCGAAUGGGAUUAGAUACCCCAGUAGUCCUAGCCGUAAACGAUGGAUACUAGGCGUGGCUUGUAUCGACCCGAGCCGUGCCGGAGCUAACGCGUUAAGUAUCCCGCCUGGGGAGUACGCACGCAAGUGUGAAACUCAAAGGAAUUGACGGGGGCCCGCACAAGCGGUGGAGUAUGUGGUUUAAUUCGAUGCAACGCGAAGAA